rnacentral:rRNA from 1 species
CUACGGGUCGCAGCAGUGGGGAAUAUUGCACAAUGGGCGCAAGCCUGAUGCAGCCAUGCCGCGUGUAUGAAGAAGGCCUUCGGGUUGUAAAGUACUUUCAGCGGGGAGGAAGGGAGUAAAGUUAAUACCUUUGCUCAUUGACGUUACCCGCAGAAGAAGCACCGGCUAACUCCGUGCCAGCAGCCGCGGUAAUACGGAGGGUGCAAGGUUAAUCGGAAUUACUGGGCGUAAAGCGCACGCAGGCGGUUUGUUAAGUCAGAUGUGAAAUCCCCGGGCUCAACCUGGGAACUGCAUCUGAUACUGGCAAGCUUGAGUCGCGUAGAGGGGGGUAGAAUUCCAGGUGUAGCGGUGAAAUGCGUAGAGAUCUGGAGGAAUACCGGUGGCGAAGGCGGCCCCCUGGACGAAGACUGACGCUCAGGUGCGAAAGCGUGGGGAGCAAACAGGAUUAGAUACCCUCGUAGUC